UGCCUCCAACCUGGCUGGUUGAGGUGUGACUUUAUCCAUCUGGGGCCUCCUAGAAGCCUGGACCCCUGGGGCUUCCUCCCUAGCUAGCUGACAUCAGAUGGCUGGGGGAUGAGAACAUAUUUUGCAUGUACACUGACUGUGUACAUGCCAAAAGGUGAAUCAAAUGACAAUCAGGGCUGCCAAUAAAUGAUAAUCCAUAUUCCUCACA